rnacentral:sRNA from 1 species
UGUUAAAGCUCUUUGGCGUUUCGAUGGAAAGCUUUGGACAGCUGAGAGCUCGCUCUCGCUCUCCCCGAAGCUAACGCAGAAGCAGCCGCCGACGCAAGCCGUUGUACCGGUACCGGUGUCUGUCGCUGCCAGACAGACGGGCAGCAGCAGACUCUGGGCAGCAAGCAGGCAGGCAAGCAGUGGAAAGUUAGUAUAGACAUUACAAAUCAGGUGAUUUCUGGAGGAGCUUUUGACGCGCAUGUGGCUGGCCGGGCUGCAUGUUUGUUAUGGGCGGCUUUCUAGUGUUGUGGCGUGAUGAUGCGAUGCCGCAGCCUAACAGCAGCUGCCAGGGGCAACUUGUGGCAGUAACAGUAACAGUGCAACAUGCUUUGCGUUAACAUAGGCACAGCUCCCUCUGCCUCUCUCUACGCUCUUCAUAUUUCUCACGCAAUCAAUCCCCCUAAGCACAAUACAAACACAAGCUGCUUUCUCAUUCGCCGAGAAACUCGUACGAUGUGCAGAAGAAUGAUUCAACAAAAGGGAAAGAAGUAAGUGACGAAGGCAGUUCUGUUGGCGGUCGGUCGGUCUCCCCCAGAGCGUCGCUAGAAGAAGCGGAAGAACAAGAAACAGCGGACGCCCGAAAAUGCUAUGUUGCUGCCGGCAAACGAUGGCAAAUCGGCACACUCACCUCUUUGUAGCAUUUUGAUGCUAUGUUUAUGUUUAUACCCCUGCAUCAGGUAUUACGAUUUUUACUAGAGGUCUGCAACACUUAGAAGAUGCCAUCUUCUUAGUAAUGAACAGUACAACAUAUGGGAUAGCGCGAAGUCGUAAUAUAUUUAUAUCAACCGAAGGUAUUAAAGUGUAGAUAACAAAUACAAUUACAUAUCAUCAAAAUCGAAUGACUGCCAUGGAAAAGGGUAUCAAAGGCUACGGUAGUCGAAGUUAAUUUCUUGUUGCCAUAGUAAUUGUAUGUCAGAGCGAAAUUUUGCAUGCCAACCGGCACACAUAUACACACACACAUGAGCUGGACGCGUGUACCAUUUGUUUAGUGAGAUAAGGUGGCGUGAUUUCUCAAGUUCAUUCAAGUAUUACUUUCAUAGUUUUUGUGGCUGGUCUGUUCCCCGAUUUGUUUGCUUUGUUUUAGCUGUGCCUGCUACAAUCCAACAUCCUCUAUAGAUCCUUUUACUUUUUUUGCCAGCGUUCUCUUCCGUAUUGAUUUCUCCGGUAUUCAUCAGACUCCACUAUCUCUGUGUUCGUGUAUGUAUGUACAUAUGUGUGUGGGUGUCACCCAUCAUCAGGCCAUACU